rnacentral:rRNA from 1 species
GCAAGUCGAGCGGUAACAGAGAGUAGCUUGCUACUUUGCUGACGAGCGGCGGACGGGUGAGUAAUGCCUAGAUAUCUGCCUAGUCGUGGGGGAUAACAGUUGGAAACGACUGCUAAUACCGCAUACGCCCUACGGGGGAAAGGAGGGGACCUUCGGGCCUUCUGCGAUUGGAUGUACCUAGGUGGGAUUAGCUAGUUGGUGAGGUAAUGGCUCACCAAGGCGACGAUCCCUAGCUGUUCUGAGAGGAUGAUC